GAUGGUUGUUUGAACCGCAGGUUCAAACAUAAAAGGUGGCUUCGGCUACCACUUACAGAUGGACCCGCGGCGCAUAGCUAGUUGGUGAGGUAACGGCUCACCAAGGCAACGAUGCGUAGCCGACCUGAGAGGGUGAUCGGCCACACUGGGACUGAGACACGGCCCAGACUCCUACGGGAGGCAGCAGUAGGGAAUCUUCCGCAAUGGACGAAAGUCUGACGGAGCAACGCCGCGUGAGUGAUGAAGGUUUUCGGAUCGUAAAGCUCUGUUGUUAGGGAAGAACAAGUACCGUUCGAAUAGGGCGGUACCUUGACGGUACCUAACCAGAAAGCCACGGCUAACUACGUGCCAGCAGCCGCGGUAAUACGUAGGUGGCAGCGUUGUCCGGAAUUAUUGGGCGUAAAGGGCUCGCAGGCGGUUUCUUAAGUCUGAUGUGAAAGCCCCCGGCUCAACCGGGGAGGGUCAUUGGAAACUGGGGAACUUGAGUGCAGAAGAGGAGAGUGGAAUUCCACGUGUAGCGGUGAAAUGCGUAGAGAUGUGGAGGAACACCAGUGGCGAAGGCGACUCUCUGGUCUGUAACUGACGCUGAGGAGCGAAAGCGUGGGGAGCGAACAGGAUUAGAUACCCUGGUAGUCCACGCCGUAAACGAUGAGUGCUAAGUGUUAGGGGGUUUCCGCCCCUUAGUGCUGCAGCUAACGCAUUAAGCACUCCGCCUGGGGAGUACGGUCGCAAGACUGAAACUCAAAGGAAUUGACGGGGGCCCGCACAAGCGGUGGAGCAUGUGGUUUAAUUCGAAGCAACGCGAAGAACCUUACCAGGUCUUGACAUCCUCUGACAAUCCUAGAGAUAGGACGUCCCCUUCGGGGGCAGAGUGACAGGUGGUGCAUGGUUGUCGUCAGCUCGUGUCGUGAGAUGUUGGGUUAAGUCCCGCAACGAGCGCAACCCUUGAUCUUAGUUGCCAGCAUUCAGUUGGGCACUCUAAGGUGACUGCCGGUGACAAACCGGAGGAAGGUGGGGAUGACGUCAAAUCAUCAUGCCCCUUAUGACCUGGGCUACACACGUGCUACAAUGGACAGAACAAAGGGCAGCGAAACCGCGAGGUUAAGCCAAU
rnacentral:rRNA from 1 species